AUUGAACGCUGGCGGCAGGCUUAACACAUGCAAGUCGAGCGGGGGGAGGUAGCUUGCUACCUAACCUAGCGGCGGACGGGUGAGUAAUGCUUAGGAAUCUGCCUAUUAGUGGGGGACAGCAUUCCGAAAGGGAUGCUAAUACCGCAUACGCCCUACGGGGGAAAGCAGGGGAUCUUCGGACCUUGCGCUAAUAGAUGAGCCUAAGUCGGAUUAGCUAGUUGGUGGGGUAGAGGCCUACCGAGGCGACGAUCUGUAGCGGGUCUGAGAGGAUGAUCCGCCACACUGGGACUGAGACACGGCCCAGACUCCUACGGGAGGCAGCAGUGGGGAAUAUUGGACAAUGGGCGGAAGCCUGAUCCAGCCAUGCCGCGUGUGUGAAGAAGGCCUUUUGGUUGUAAAGCACUUUAAGCGAGGAGGAGGCUCUUAAGGUUAAUACCCUUGAUGAGUGGACGUUACUCGCAGAAUAAGCACCGGCUAACUCUGUGCCAGCCGCCGCCGUAAGAC
rnacentral:rRNA from 1 species